UAAUAACAUUUUUUUUCAAGACAACAGAAACUUCUGAGAGAAUAGAGAGACAGGCUGAGGAAAGCAAGAGAGUCUCAAUGUGCUGCUAAGUGUGAUCAGACAACAAUGGAAAAUAUCACAGCCAUUCACAUGAACAAGCAAUGAAUGCCACAUUUUCUCCUGCUUCAAGUCAAGCCACAAGCAUGGCGUCGCUUCACUGUUGGAAACAGCAUGGAAACAUGGAAUAUGCAGUGCUACCGCACUGUGCCUCCUCACUGCUGCAGCCUGAGUCAUUCAGAAGUCGCUGCAAACAGGAUGGGAGCCCACACCAGUGCCAUCACAGCUUCUGUCUCUUAAGUCUGACAGGUCCAGACUAUUAAACUCUCCAUGCUACCUUCAGCUACACGAGUCUCUGAAGUUCCUAUGAUCCUCAGAGACACGUCCUCUGGAUUUGUAUCCCGUGGAACCUAAUCUGGUAUAGUAGUUUGGGUUUUAUUGCUGCGAAGAGACACAAUGACCAUGGCAACUUUUAUACACAAAGCAUUUAAUUAGGACUGAACCAAUUUCAGAGUUUCAGUCCAUUAUUAUCAUAGCAGGAAGCAUGGCAGUGUGCAUGCAGACAUGGUGCUUGGAGGAGCCAAGAGUUCUAUAUCUUGAUCUGAAGUCAGCAGCAGAUUGUGAGCACGGGUAACUACGAGGGGACUGUCUUCUGUAGGCAACCAGCAAGAAGCUCUGGAUCACACUGGCCAGACCUGAACGUAUGCCAGACCUCAAGGACUAUCUGCACCAAACUCAUUCCUGUAACAUGGCUAAACUUGUUCUAAAAAGCCACACCUCUUAAUAGUGCCACUUCCCAUGGGCCAAUCAAAUUCAAACCAGCACAACUGGCAAGGAAUUCUGGCCAUAUUUUAUAACUGGG
rnacentral:lncRNA from 1 species